rnacentral:rRNA from 1 species
AUGGCGACGGAGCUGGCCUACGCGCCGCCCAUGAAGUCGGGCAAGCUCGGGUUCGAGGGCACGCAGGAGGUGCAGCACCGCAUCCGCAUCACCCUCUCCUCCAAGUCCGUCAAGAACCUCGAGAAGGGUCUGUGCCCCAUCCGAUCCCUCCUCUUCCUCCCCGUUCGCUCCCGCUUUGUGCGUCUCCGAUCUGACGCGUGUUGUCUUGCAGUGUGCUCGGAUCUGGUGAAGGGCGCCAAGGAGAAGCAGCUCAAGGUCAAGGGCCCCGUCAGGAUGCCCACCAAGGUGCUCAACAUCACCACCAGGAAGUCCCCCUGCGGAGAAGGGACCAACACCUGGGAUCGGUUUGAGAUGCGGGUGCACAAGAGGGUGAUCGACCUUGUCAGCUCCCCAGACGUUGUCAAGCAGAUCACCUCUAUCACCAUCGAGCCUGGCGUCGAGGUCGAAGUGACCAUCAGCGACCAGUAG